CCUUCACUGAUGAGUAAACCCAAGACUUUCGUUCUCCUGAAACUGCUGAAGCAACUCUCUUUUCUGAGAAGG
ensembl:snoRNA